UACGUAGGGGGCAAGCGUUGUCCGGAUUUACUGGGCGUAAAGAGCGCGUAGGCGGAAGCUUAAGUGUGGCCUGAAAGCCCCCGGCUCAACCGGGGAAGGUGGCUGCAAACUGGGCUUCUUGAGGGGGAUAGGGGAAAGUGGAAUUCCGGGUGUAGCGGUGAAAUGCGUAGAGAUCCGGAGGAACACCAGUGGCGAAGGCGGCUUUCUGGGUCCGCCCUGACGCUGAGGCGCGAAGGCGUGGGGAGCGAACGGG
rnacentral:rRNA from 1 species